GAGCCGUCUCAGAGGAGGCAAAGUCAUUUUUUCUGUCGUCUUUCUCCAGCAUUGCAGCUAUUCUAAACAAGCCAAAUUGGAAUAAACGCUCCAUGACACUACUCACCACCUUGUGUUUUCAUAGGGGCGGCUGCCUAACAGUUUACACUGAACUAUUUAACACUAGCCUAUUUGCUCUGACAGCUCUUUUAUUACAGAUGACCACCCCAGGCCUUGGGAGGUUCAUUUUGUCCAAUAUUGGUUUCAUUUGGGUAUGAUCAUUGUGUUCGGAGUUGUUUACUGAGCAGACUGCUGCUAACCUCCUCCUAUCGUUGAUUGCCUACCAGAAGAAGCAGUCCAGCUCAGUUUCCUGGUUCCAAGAAAGAGAAUUCAGCAAGAGGAGGGUCAAAUUACCCCAAACUCCAGAUCAUCUCUAUCAACAAUGUCAUAUGUGUCCAGGAAAGAGAAGCUUUAUUGUUUGUCUUGCUCUGUUUUCUGAAGCUAAGAAGACAAUUGCUUCCUCGCAAACAUGGACAGAUUAAAUACACUACAUUCUGUCCUUUUCACCAUCUGCUUCUUGCUUAUUUUAUUUUAAGCUGCAUGACUAAACUUUAUUAUCUGACGGACGGGUGAAGGUGGGCCCUGCUGCUGCUGUGCUCUACUCCUUGAGGCUUGGAAUGAAUGCAAAGUUGCAGGGCUGAUCUGCAAAGGGAGAACAAUAUCCAAGUAAUGUUUUGGAAAACGGAAACUCUAUAUUCCUGACUUCCCUUCCUAGGGAGUGGGACCCAGGGACAGCUGCAAGGAUCUGCAGGCACUUUCUAGGCUCCCCUUGGAUUGUUUACUUUCCUCCAGAAGCCAGAAAAGGAAAAGAAAAUAAAGCAUUGUAAUAUAAACAAAGUGUGUAGUGAAGAUUCUGGAGCCUGCAUGAUGUGGGAUGUGACUACAGACUUAAUGCAGAAGUAGACAUGGGACUCCAGCUGUCUCCUAUCAAGAAAGACUUCAAAAACAAACAAUCAAA